rnacentral:rRNA from 1 species
AGUUCGGAUUGCAGGCUGCAACCCGCCUGUAUGAAGUUGGAAUCGCUAGUAAUCGCGGAUCAGCAUGCCGCGGUGAAUACGUUCCCGGGCCUUGUACACACCGCCCGUCACACCAUGAGAGUCGGGAACACCCGAAGUCCGUAGCCUAACCGCAAGGAGGGCGCGGCCGAAGGUGGGUUCGAUAAUUGGGGUGAAGUCGUAACAAGGUAAC